GCAUGUAGUAUACUUGAUUUUAAAACAGUGGUUCUUAACCUUGGUUCGAUCAAACCCUAGGGGUUCAGUGAGUCUGUCUCAGGGGUUCGACAGAGCCUCUACUGAGG